AAUAGAUACCCAGGUAGUCCACGCCGUAAACGAUGGAUGCUAGCUGUUAUGCGUAUCGACCCGUGUAGUAGCGAAGCUAACGCGUUAAGCAUCCCGCCUGGGGAGUACGAACGCAAGUUUAAAACUCAAAGGAAUUGACGGGGACCCGCACAAGCGGUGGAGCGUGUUCUUUAAUUCGAGGCUAAGCGAAGAACCUUACCAGGGCUUGACAUCCUUGGAAUUUCUCCGAAAGGAGAGAGUACUUUAUUGGACCGAGUGACAGGUGCUGCAUGGCCGUCGUCAGCUCGUGUCGUGAGAUGUUUGGUUAAGUCCAUUAACGAGCGCAACCCUUAUGAAUAGUUGUAUUUUUCUAUUCAGACUGCCCCGGUAACGGGGAGGAAGGAGGGGAUGAUGUCAGGUCAGUAUUGCCCUUACGCCCUGGGCUAGAAACGCGCUACAAUGGCCGGUACAAUGCGCUGCCAACCCGCGAGGGGGAGCAAAUCGCAUCAAAGCCGGUCCCAGUUCGGAUAAGAGGCUGAAACUCGCCUCUUGAAGCCGGAAUCGCUAGU
rnacentral:rRNA from 1 species